rnacentral:rRNA from 1 species
UUUCGGGCUUUAUUUGCGCAGGAUAGGUGGGAGGCUUUGAGAGUGUUUUUGAGGGAACAUUUGAGCCAUUGGUGAGAUACCACUCUUAUAAAGCUAGAAUUCUAACCUUAUACCGUUAGCCGGUUAAGGAACAGUCUCUGGUGGGCAGUUUGACUGGGGCGGUCGCCUCCUAAAAGGUAACGGAGGCGCACAAAGGUUUCCUCAGAUCGGUCAGAAAUCGAUCGUAGAGCGUAAAGGCAUAAGGAAGCUUGACUGCGAGACCUACAAGUCGAGCAGAGACGAAAGUCGGUCUUAGUGAUCUGACGGUUCCGAGUGGAAGGGCCGUCACUCAACGGAUAAAAGUUACUCUAGGGAUAACA